rnacentral:rRNA from 1 species
UACGGAGGGUGCGAGCGUUGUCCGGAAUUACUGGGCAUAAAGGGUGCGUAGGUGGCUUGUUAAGUCAGGGGUGAAAGUUUUCGGCCCAACCGGAAAAUGGCCUUUGAUACUGGCGAGCUCGAGUGCGUGAGGGGUAACCGGAACGAGCAGUGUAGCGGUGAAAUGCGUAGAUAUUGCUCGGAAGGCCAACGGCGAAGGCAGGUUACUGGUGCGCAACUGACACUGAGGCACGAAAGCGUGGGGAGCAAACAGG